rnacentral:rRNA from 1 species
GACUUACAUCUCUUCGGAGCAUUUUACGAGGUGCUGCAUGGUUGUCGUCAGCUCGUGCCGUGAGGUGUCGGUUAAGUCCCAUAACGAGCGCAACCCUACCUUUAGUUGCCAUCAGGUUAAGCUGGGACGUCUAAAGGAACUGCCUACGCAAGUAGUGAGGAAGGCGGGGAUGACGUCAAAUCAGCACGGCCCUUACGUCCAGGGCUACACACGUGCUACAAUGGCCGAUGCAGAGGGCAGCUACCUGGUGACAGGAUGCAAAUCUCCAAAGUCGGUCUCAGUUCGGAUCGGAGUCUGCAACCCGACUCCGUGAAGUUGGAUUCGCUAGUAAUCGCGCAUCAGCCAUGGCGCGGUGAAUACGUUCCCGGGCCUU